ACGGCUCAGUAACACGUAAUCAACUUACCCUACAGUGGGGCAUAACCUCGGGAAACUGAGGCUAAUUCCCCAUAGUUGAAUUCUUCUGGAAUGGGAAUUCAUCGAAAGAUUUAUCGCUGUAGGAUAGGAUUGCUCUCGAUUACGGUAGUUGGUGAGGUAAUGGCUCACCAAGCCUCUGAUCGAUAAGGGCCGUGAGAGCGGGAGCCCUGAGAUGGAUACUGAGACAAUGAUCCAGGCCUUACGAGGCGCAGCAGGCGCGAAACCUUUACGAUGCACGCAAGUGUGAUAAGGUUACCCGGAGUGCCGAGAGAAAAACUUUCGGCUGUUAUGGGUGUGUAAACUACCCUAUGAGAAAGGAGAGGGCAAGGCUGGUGCCAGCCGCCGCGGUAAAACCAGCUCUUCAAGUGGUCGGGACUUUUAUUGGGCUUAAAGUGUCCGUAGCCGGUUUAAUAAGUUCCUGGUAAAAUCUGACAGCUUAACUGUCAGCUCGCUAGGAAUACUGUUUUACUAGAGGGUGGGAAAGGUCUGAGGUACUCUAGGGGUAGCGGUGAAAUGCGAUAAUCCUUAGGGGACCACCAGUGGCGAAGGCGUCAGACUGGAACACGCCUGACGGUGAGGGACGAAAGCCAGGGGAGCGAACGGGAUUAGAUACCCCGGUAGUCCUGGCUGUAAACGAUGCGUGCUAGGUGUUGGUAGGGCUUUGAGCUGUAUCAGUGCCAAAGGGAAACUGUUAAGCGCGCCGCCUGGGAAGUACGCUCGCAAGAGUGAAACUUAAAGGAAUUGGCGGGGGAGCACCACAAGGGGUGAAGCCUGCGGUUUAAUUGGAGUCAACGCCGGG
rnacentral:rRNA from 1 species